rnacentral:rRNA from 1 species
UAGUCAUAUGCUUGUCUCAAAGAUUAAGCCAUGCAUGUCUAAGUUUAAGUACUUCGAAUGACAAAACUGCGAACGGCUCAUUACAACAGUGAUAAUUGAUUUGAUGGACUUUCUACACGGAUAACCGUGGGAAACCAAGGCUAAUACGUGCGUAAGACUUCGGUCUGAGUUUAUUAGCUUAAGGACCAUUUAUGAUGGUUCAUGGUAAAUGAUCGGAUCGCAUACUUCGGUGGCGAUGGAUCAUUCAAGUCUCUGACCUAUCAGCUUUCGACGGUCGGGUAUUGGCCCACCGUGGCUUUGACGGGUGACGGGGAAUUAGGGUUCGAUUCCGGAGAGGGAGCCUGAGAAACGGCUACCACGUCUAAGGAUGGCAGCAGGCGCGUAAAUUACCCAAUUCUGACAUAGAGAGGUAGUGACAAGAAAUAGCAACGUGAGGCAACAGCUUUGCGAUUGCAAUGAGUAGAAUGUAAACGUUUCUACGAGAAACAAUU